GGUGAGCGAUCCAGGGAUCAGGAUGGAUCGAUUAACCGCGUCUGAUCGAGGGGAAAUGGAAGUCUGCAGGCGGAGGAUAAGAGAUUCAGCGAUGAAUGUGGAACUUUGGUUUUGUCUGUGAGGCAACGUUUUAGGGAAAUGUCUUUAUGAACGUCAAAUUAUAGUGACAAAGAAAACGCAGAUUUCGUUCAAAUUUAAAUAUAUAUAUAUUUGAUCCGAUGAGAAGCUACAGACAGUACAGCGAACAGACCGAAAACACCAACAACCUUCACCCCAGAGCUGUGUCUCCUCAGCCUGUGACUGCUGCACUACAGCAUGUAGACAGCAGUGCAUUCUCCUGCAGCUUUGCAAAUGAAAAUGGAGGACGUGUCUCUGUCCAGUAUGGACAACAGUAAGAUGGAGGGCAUUGCUCAAGAGAUCCUGUCUGACCUGGUGGAAGACGCCUGUUUGGGUCUUUGUUUUGAGGUGCACAGGGCCGUCAAACAAGGAUACUUUUUCUUGGAUGAUACAGACCAGGAUAGUAUGAAGGACUUUGAAAUUGUGGACCAGCCUGGAGUAGACAUUUUUGGGCAAGUGUACAACCAGUGGAAAAACAAAGAGUGUGUGUGUCCCAACUGCAGCCGCAGCAUUGCUGCGUCUCGCUUUGCACCACACCUGGAGAAAUGCCUCGGGAUGGGCCGCAACAGCAGUCGCAUCGCCAACCGCAGAAUUGCAAGCGGCAAUAACACAAACAAAUCAGAGAGCGAUCAAGAGGACAAUGAUGAUGUAAACGACAAUGAUUGGUCUUAUGGCGCUGAAAAGAAAGCCAAGAAGAGAAAGUCAGAUAAGGUAUUUUUACAUUCUUUGAAACAACCUGUACCUGUGAAUCCGAAUUCACCAAGAAGAUCCAAAUCGAUGAAACAUAAAAAUGGUAAUUAUGAGCUGUACCUUAUAACACAAACAGACUGUGGGAUUUGAAAAGAAAAGCGUCCAUUGUAACAUCAUCUACAAAGUGCAAUUAGCAUGUUUAAAGUACGCCGUAAAACCCGGAAAUUUAUGUCUAAUUGAAUGAAUCAAAUAAAUCAAGAUAUGUCCCCAAAUGAAGAUCGUUUGAAGACAUAACAUUAUUUUGGCUGACGACUUUAUCCACUGGAAUAGACAAAAGUUGCUUUAAAAGUCACUAUUAUGUAAAAUGAUUAAAUGUAAGCCUACAUCUGUCAAUUUUGCAUCAAGUACUGGUCAUUCACAAAGGACGGAUUUUCGUGUUGUGUCUUUGUAUUAUAUGCAUAUUUCUCAUUUAUUUAUCCAUGUACAUGAAGCCUGAUGCCUCUGGCUGAUACGUGUCGCUGACGAGAGCCGCAAUUUUCUCAGAUGCUUUGCCGGUUCCUAAGCACCGCAUGGAGAACCAAGAAAGCUCCUGUGUGUUGCUAAGAGACGAGACAUUUUCUCAAUAAUGCUGUUGGAAGCAGAAGUCACUUGAUCGCAGCAUUGCGUGAGCUGAAUUAUGCUGAUCAACGGAGGAGACAUGGACUAAUUCUUCAGACAUACAGUUUACAUUUUUUUUUCUUAUUUGUUACUUCUUUUUUUUCUUCAGGAAUAUUUGCACAUAGCUUGUCUCUUUAAAACAACACGUUUAGGAUAUAGGAACUUGCGUAAUUCUCUCAGGGAGGAAGUUCAAACUCGUCAUCCUAUCAGCAGACAGAAACAACUGAGCAUAGAGUCACAGAUGCUGGGCCUCUCCCAUAACAAAGAGACAGGAUUCUUUCUAAAAUAAAAAUUCUAUCCAUAUACAAUGUAUAAUUAUACCUUCUCAUAUCUGUGCCCUAUUAUUCUAGGGGGGUUGAAGCAAUUAAAAUAAAUUGUGCAAGGUUAUUAGCAUGCACAUCCAGAUUAGUAAUCAAUGUCAACAAUUUCCUAUCAGGUUACUUAUUGUACUGUUUGAUAUUAUUGAAUUGUAUUGAAAAUCAUGAUCUAGUAAAGUAUAUUCUUUUCUCUGUAGUUCCAAUAGCCAAAGUGUGGUACAAUUGUACUGUAUGUUACUCUAGUCCUCUAGCACAUCAUCAUCAUACUACAUUUUUUCCAUUGGUAAAUUAUUGGUUACAGAGCGAACAGAGGUUGUUAGUCUCCAAAAAAAAAGAUCUAAUCAUUGCUUGAGAGUAUCUUUAUGAGUGUAAUUGUUUUCUUUAUGUAUUUCUUAUGUAUUAGAUGUUUACAGUGGAAUGUGUCCAUUGCGGUCUCACAUUGUGUGUAACUGUGUACAUAUUUGACUAGAUAAAAAAUGCUGCUAUCCUCACCACGAGUCAUUGGCUUAUGGGCAUGUAAUAAAAGAUCUCAGAACAUGCUUCAUGUGUGCUAUACAAAAUGUA